rnacentral:rRNA from 1 species
UAGGGAAUCUUCCGCAAUGGGCGAAAGCUUGACGGAGCAACGCCGCGUGAGUGAUGAAGGUCUUCGGAUCGUAAAACUCUGUUAUUAGGGAAGAACAAAUGUGUAAGUAACUAUGCACGUCUUGACGGUACCUAAUCAGAAAGCCACGGCUAACUACGUGCCAGCAGCCGCGGUAAUACGUAGGUGGCAAGCGUUAUCCGGGAUUAUUGGGCGUAAAGCGCGCGUAGGCGGUUUUUUAAGUCUGAUGUGAAAAACCACGGUUCAAACGGGGAGGGUCAUUGGAAACUGGAAAACUUGAGUGCAGAAGAGGAAAGGGGAAUUCAAUGUGUAGCAGUGAAAUGCGCAGAGAUAUGGAGGAGCACCAGUGGCGAAGGCGACUUUCUGGUCUGUAACUGACGCUGAUGUGCGAAAGCGUGGGGAUCAAACAGG